rnacentral:rRNA from 1 species
GUGGGGAAUUUUGGACAAUGGGCGAAAGCCUGAUCCAGCCAUGCCGCGUGCAGGAUGAAGGCCUUCGGGUUGUAAACUGCUUUUGUACGGAACGAAAAGACUCCUUCUAAUAAAGGGGGUCCAUGACGGUACCGUAAGAAUAAGCACCGACUAACUACGUGCAAGCAGCCGCGGUAAUACGUAGGGUGCGAGCGUUAAUCGGAAUUACUGGGCGUAAAGCGUGCGCAGGCGGUUAUAUAAGACAGAUGUGAAAUCCCCGGGCUCAACCUGGGAACUGCAUUUGUGACUGUAUAGCUAGAGUACGGCAGAGGGGGAUGGAAUUCCGCGUGUAGCAGUGAAAUGCGUAGAUAUGCGGAGGAACACCGAUGGCGAAGGCAAUCCCCUGGGCCUGUACUGACGCUCAUGCACGAAAGCGUGGGGAGCAAACAGGAUUAGAAACCCCGGUAGUCC